AUGAACGCUGGCGGCGUGCUUCAGACAUGCAAGUCGUACGCGAAAGCCCGCAAGGGUAAGUAAAGUGGCGCACGGGUGAGUAAUAAUUAGGUAAUUCGCCUUCUCGCUGAGGAUAACCAGACGAAAGUUUGGCUAAUACUGAAUGGUCCCUUAGAGACUCCGGUCUUUUUGGGUAAAGCCGUAAGGCGCGAGUAGAGAAGCCUGAUUCCCAUUAGCUAGUUGGUAGGGUAAUGGCCUACCAAGGCUACGAUGGGUAGCUGGUCUGAGAGGACGAUCAGCCACACUGGAACUGGAACACGGUCCAGACUCCUACGGGAGGCAGCAGUUAGGAAUUUUGCGCAAUGGGGGAAACCCUGACGCAGCAACGCCGCGUGAGUGAUGAAGGCCUUCGGGUUGUAAAGCUCUUUUAGUUGGGAAAAAACAAAUGAUGGUACCAACAGAAACAGCACCGGCUAACUCUGU
rnacentral:rRNA from 1 species